rnacentral:rRNA from 1 species
GACGAACGCUGGCGGCGUGCCUAAUACAUGCAAGUAGAACGCUGAAGGAGGAGCUUGCUUCUCUGGAUGAGUUGCGAACGGGUGAGUAACGCGUAGGUAACCUGCCUGGUAGCGGGGGAUAACUCUUGGAAACGAUAGCUAAUACCGCAUAAGAGUAGAUGUCGCAUGACAUUUUCUUAAAAGUUGCAAUUGCAUCACUACCAGAUGGACCUGCGUUGUAUUAGCUAGUUGGUGAGGUAACGGCUCACCAAGGCAACGAUACAUAGCCGACCUGAGAGGGUGGUCGGCCACACUGGGACUGAGACACGGCCCAGACUCCUACGGGAGGCAGCCGUAGGGAAUCUUCGGCAAUGGACGGAAGUCUGACCGAGCAACGCCGCGUGAGUGAAGAAGGUUGUCGGAUCGUAAAGCUCUGUUGUAAGAGAAGAACGAGUGUGAGAGUGGAAAGUUCACACUGUGACGGUAUCUUACCAGAAAGGGACGGCUAACUACGUG